rnacentral:lncRNA from 1 species
UUCACCCUUGUUCUCCAAUAAACAUUUUUCAGGAGGAUUGAAAUCAAGUUCUUUUGUUUUUGUGUUUGGAUCAAUUUUUUUGUUUUGCUUUGGCAAUAUCUUUUUUCGCAUAGGCGAUUUUGAUGUAUAAAGUUCACCCGAAUCAGAGCUGUUUAUCAAUUCCAUCUUUCUCUGAUGCAGGUAGAACAUAAAUAAUUUCCAUCUUUCACUGUUCUUCAUAAUAAAUCCCGUUGACUUUUUGAUCGGAUACCCUGCUCACCGCUAUAUACACCUCUUUUAUCAUCAUACUUUAAAAGAUGUAAGAACUCCAUUUUCACACCAAAGUAAUACCUUGUUCCAUCCGGGCCGAGUUUUUUAAGUUUUACAUUUUCAUUUUUUUUUCUAUUAAAACAUUUUUUUGAAAAGUUUUCAAGAACUCAUAAUAGAAUUAGCUGUUUUUAAGUGUAUGCAAGGUAUGUUAUCUCAGGAAGUAAAUCUUUUGCAACUUACCUAUUCAGAGAUCUCACUCGGAACACCAAGAAAACACCAACACCUUAGUACUGUCAUUCAUUGGGUCAAAACAAUUGCUACAAGUCAUACAUACACAGAGAUCAUUCUCAAGCAGCUUCUUCUAUACAAACUUAGAAAGAAGCUACUCAAGCAUGAAAACAAAUAAAUGACA